rnacentral:rRNA from 1 species
CAGGCUUAACACAUGCAAGUCGAGGGGCAUCAGGAAGAAAGCUUGCUUUCUUUGCUGGCGACCGGCGCACGGGUGAGUAACACGUAUCCAACCUGCCCUUUACUCGGGGAUAGCCUUUCGAAAGAAAGAUUAAUACCCGAUAGCAUAAUGAUUCCGCAUGGUUUCAUUAUUAAAGGAUUCCGGUAAAGGAUGGGGAUGCGUUCCAUUAGGUUGUUGGUGAGGUAACGGCCCACCAAGCCUUCGAUGGAUAGGGGUUCUGAGAGGAAGGUCCCCCACAUUGGAACUGAGACACGGUCCAAACUCCUACGGGAGGCAGCAGUGAGGAAUAUUGGUCAAUGGGCGCUAGCCUGAACCAGCCAAGUAGCGUGAAGGAUGAAGGCUCUAUGGGUCGUAAACUUCUUUUAUAUAAGAAUAAAGUGCAGUAUGUAUACUGUUUUGUAUGUAUUAUAUGAAUAAGGAUCGGCUAACUCCGUGCCAGCAGCCGCGGUAAUACGGAGGAUCCGAGCGUUAUCCGGAUUUAUUGGGUUUAAAGGGAGCGUAGGUGGACUGGUAAGUCAGUUGUGAAAGUUCGCGGCUCAACCGUAAAAUUGCAGUUGAUACUGUCAGUCUUGAGUACAGUAGAGGUGGGCGGAAUUCGUGGUGUAGCGGUGAAAUGCUUAGAUAUCACGAAGAACUCCGAUUGCGAAGGCAGCUCACUGGACUGCAACUGAUACUGAUGCUCGAAAGUGUGGGUAUCAAACAGGAUUAGAUACCCUGGUAGUCCACACAGUAAACGAUGAAUACUCGCUGUUUGCGAUAUACAGUAAGCGGCCAAGCGAAAGCAUUAAGUAUUCCACCUGGGGAGUACGCCGGCAACGGUGAAACUCAAAGGAAUUGACGGGGGCCCGCACAAGCGGAGGAACAUGUGGUUUAAUUCGAUGAUACGCGAGGAACCUUACCCGGGCUUAAAUUGCAGUGGAAUGAUGUGGAAACAUGUCAGUGAGCAAUCACCGCUGUGAAGGUGCUGCAUGGUUGUCGUCAGCUCGUGCCGUGAGGUGUCGGCUUAAGUGCCAUAACGAGCGCAACCCUUAUCUUUAGUUACUAACAGGUUAUGCUGAGGACUCUAGAGAGACUGCCGUCGUAAGAUGUGAGGAAGGUGGGGAUGACGUCAAAUCAGCACGGCCCUUACGUCCGGGGCUACACACGUGUUACAAUGGGGGGUACAGAAGGCAGCUAGCGGGUGACCGUAUGCUAAUCCCAAAAUCCUCUCUCAGUUCGGAUCGAAGUCUGCAACCCGACUUCGUGAAGCUGGAUUCGCUAGUAAUCGCGCAUCAGCCACGGCGCGGUGAAUACGUUCCCGGGCCUUGUACACACCGCCCGUCAAGCCAUGGGAGCCGGGGGUACCUGAAGUACGUAACCGCAAGGAUCGUCCUAGGGUAAAACUGGUGACU